GACGAACGCUGGCGGCGUGCUUAACACAUGCAAGUCGAGCGGUAAGGCCCUUUCGGGGGUACACGAGCGGCGAACGGGUGAGUAACACGUGGGUGACCUGCCCUCAGCUCUGGGAUAAGCCUGGGAAACCGGGUCUAAUACUGGAUAUGACUCCAUGACGCAUGUUGUGGGGUGGAAAGCCUUGUGCGGCUGAGGAUGGGCCCGUGGCCUAUCAGCUUGUUGGUGGGGUGAUGGCCUACCAAGGCGACGACGGUAGCCGGCCUGAGAGGCGACCGGCCACACUGGGACUGAGACACGGCCCAGACUCCUACGGGAGGCAGCAGUGGGGAAUCUUGCGCAAUGGGCGAAAGCCUGACGCAGCGACGCCGCGUGAGGGAUGACGGCCUGGU
rnacentral:rRNA from 1 species